AUAAGCAAUUAUACCGUGAAACUGCGAAUGGCUCAUUAAAUCAGUUAUCGUUUAUUUGAUAAUACCUUACUACUUGGAUAACCGUGGUAAUUCUAGAGCUAAUACAUGCUGAAAAUCCCGACUUCGGAAGGGAUGUGUUUAUUAGAUAAAAAACCAAUGCCCUUCGGGGCUUUUUGGUGAUUCAUGAUAACUUUACGGAUCGCAUAGCCUUGCGCUGGCGACGGUUCAUUCAAAUUUCUGCCCUAUCAACUUUCGAUGGUAAGGUAUUGGCUUACCAUGGUUUCAACGGGUAACGGGGAAUUAGGGUUCGAUUCCGGAGAGGGAGCCUGAGAAACGGCUACCACAUCCAAGGAAGGCAGCAGGCGCGCAAAUUACCCAAUCCCGACACGGGGAGGUAGUGACAAUAAAUACUGAUACAGGGCUCUUUUGGGUCUUGUAAUUGGAAUGAGUACAAUUUAAACCUCUUAACGAGGAACAAUUGGAGGGCAAGUCUGGGC
rnacentral:rRNA from 1 species